rnacentral:rRNA from 1 species
GACGAACGCUGGCGGCGUGCUUAACACAUGCAAGUCGAACGGUGAAGGGACCAGCUUGCUGGUUCUGGGUGAGUGGCGAACGGGUGAGUAACACGUGAGUAACCUGCCCCCUUCUUCUGGAUAACCGCAUGAAAGUGUGGCUAAUACGGGAUAUUCUGGGUCUGUCGCAUGGCGGGCCCGGGAAAGAUAUUGCUUCGGUGGGGGAUGGGCUCGCGGCCUAUCAGCUUGUUGGUGGGGUGAUGGCCUACCAUGGCGGGGACGGGUAGCCGGCCGGUGAGGGGGGACGGUCACACUGGGACUGAGACACGGGCCAGACUCCUACGGGAGGCAGCAGUGGGGAAUACUGCACAAUGGGCGAAAGCCUGAUGCAGCGACGCCGCGUGAGGGAUGGAGGCCUUCGGGUUGUAAACCUCUUUCGCCAGUGAAGCAGGCCUGCUCCUUGUGGGGGGGUUGACGGUAGCUGGAUAAGAAGCGCCGGCUAACUACGUG